rnacentral:misc_RNA from 1 species
GAUGAAGAACGCAGCGAAAUGCGAUAAGUAAUGUGAAUUGCAGAAUUCAGUGAAUCAUCGAAUCUUUGAACGCACAUUGCGCCCGCCAGUUUUCUGGCGGGCAUGCCUGUUCGAGCGUCAUUUCAACCAUCAAGCCCCCGGGCUUGUGUUGGGGACCUGCGGCUGCCGCAGGCCCUGAAAAGCAGUGGCGGGCUCGCUGUCACACCGAGCGUAGUAGAUUUUAUCUCGCUCUGGGCGUGCUGCGGGUUCCGGCCGUUAAACCACCCUUUUAACCCAAGGUUGACCUCGGAUCAGGUAGGAAGACCCGCUGAACUUAAGCAUAUCAAUAAGCGGAGGA